rnacentral:rRNA from 1 species
CACGGAGGGUGCAAGCGUUAUCCGGAUUCACUGGGUUUAAAGGGUGCGUAGGAGGGCAGGUAAGUCAGUGGUGAAAUCUCCAAGCUUAACUUGGAAACUGCCGUUGAUACUAUCUGUCUUGAAUAUUGUGGAGGUGAGCGGAAUAUGUCAUGUAGCGGUGAAAUGCUUAGAUAUGACAUAGAACACCAAUUGCGAAGGCAGCUCACUACACAAUCAUUGACUCUGAGGCACGAAAGCGUGGGGAUCAAACAGG